UCUCUCCCUAAUAUCCCUUUCAUUUGGCUGCCGACCCCUCAACAAAACCCAAGCAACUGCUCCGAACGACGGAUUUUGGCGGCGGCUCACUCUCCAACCGUUACCUGAAGUAGCCGAGGAGGCCCAAAUGAAAUAAAGCCCCUUCUUUUUUCCCCCCUAAACUCUCUUUCUCUCAACCAAGCCCCAAAAACCAAAACUCCCUCGCGGAACCUUGGCCAUAAAUCGGCCUUCAUUCACUCCGACCACCAUGGGUAAACUUAGAAAAGAAGAACAAACACCUAAAAGCUACCACUCUUCUUCGUAAUCUCCCCAAAAACACCUGAAAUGCUAAAACAACACCCCCUAAACCAACAUGCAACCCUUUGGUUGGCACAAGGAUGCGACCUCAACUUCCCCCGCGGCUAUAAUACUGGCAACAACCUCAAACAACCAAGCUGGGGAGGGUCACUGGGUUGCAGUCGUGGAGCGUUGUGGAAGAAGAUUGAUUUGGAAGGGGGCUACAGCUGGUUCUGGCCUGUUCAUGCGUGGAGGCGGCGACUUGGGAGCAUGAGAUCCCUAGGUUUUUUCCAAAGUGUUUGUGAUUUUGUUGGGCUUUGGUUGGUGAGUUCAGGGUUUGUAAUGGAACAAAAAGAUGUAAUUUAAUUUGGGUUUGGAACAUUUGGGUAUGUAAAUGGACAUUUCAUUUGGACACUAGAAUUUGGGCAUUUGGGUAUCCAAUAAAAACGGUUUUAA